UACGAAGGGUGCAAGCGUUACUCGGAAUUACUGGGCGUAAAGCGUGCGUAGGCGGUUUGUUAAGUCUGAUGUGAAAUCCCCGGGCUCAACCUGGGACCUGCAUUGGAAACUGGCGAGCUAGAGUACGGUAGAGGGUGGUGGAAUUCCCGGUGUAGCAGUGAAAUGCGUAGAGAUCGGAAGGAACACUCGUGGCGAAGGCGGCCACCUGGACCAGUACUGACGCUGAGGCACGAAAGCGUGGGGAGCAAACAGG
rnacentral:rRNA from 1 species